AGAGUUUGAUCAUGGCUCAGGAUGAACGCUGGCGGUAUGCUUAACACAUGCAAGUCGAACGGUGUUUUCGGACACAGUGGCGGACGGGUGAGUAACGCGUGAGAAUCUGGCUCUAGGUCGGGGACAACCACUGGAAACGGUGGCUAAUACCGGAUGUGCCGAGAGGUGAAAGGCUUGCUGCCUAGAGAUGAGCUCGCGUCUGAUUAGCUAGUAGGUGGGGUAAGAGCCUACCUAGGCGACGAUCAGUAGCUGGUCUGAGAGGAUGAUCAGCCACACUGGGACUGAGACACGGCCCAGACUCCUACGGGAGGCAGCAGUGGGGAAUUUUCCGCAAUGGGCGAAAGCCUGACGGAGCAAUACCGCGUGAGGGAGGAAGGCUCUUGGGUUGUAAACCUCUUUUCUCAGGGAAGAACACAAUGACGGUACCUGAGGAAUCAGCAUCGGCUAACUCCGUGCCAGCAGCCGCGGUAAUACGGAGGAUGCAAGCGUUAUCCGGAAUGAUUGGGCGUAAAGCGUCCGCAGGUGGCUAUGUAAGUCUGCUGUUAAAGAGUGAGGCUCAACCUCAUAAGAGCAGUGGAAACUACAUAGCUAGAGUGCGUUCGGGGCAGAGGGAAUUCCUGGUGUAGCGGUGAAAUGCGUAGAUAUCAGGAAGAACACCGGUGGCGAAAGCGCUCUGCUAGGCCGCAACUGACACUGAGGGACGAAAGCUAAGGGAGCGAAUGGGAUUAGAUACCCCAGUAGUCCUAGCCGUAAACGAUGGAUACUAGGCGUGGCUUGUAUCGACCCGAGCCGUGCCGUAGCUAACGCGUUAAGUAUCCCGCCU
rnacentral:rRNA from 1 species